rnacentral:rRNA from 1 species
AGCAGCCGCGGUAAUUCCAGCUCCAAUAGCGUAUAUUAAAGUUGUUGCAGUUAAAAAGCUCGUAGUUGAAUUUCGGGACCAAUUUGUUGGUCGUGCCUCGGUACGUACUGGUAUUAUUGGUUUCUCCCUUCUGAAGAACCUCGAUGCCAUUAAUUUGGUGUCGUGGGGAAUCAGGACUGUUACUUUGAAAAAAUUAGAGUGUUUAAAGCAAGCAUACGCUUGAAUACAUUAGCAUGGAAUAAUGAAAUAGGACGUUUGAUUCUAUUUUGUUGGUUUCUAGGAUCGACGUAAUGAUUAAUAGGGAUAGUUGGGGGCAUUAGUAUUCAAUUGUCAGAGGUGAAAUUCUUGGAUUUAUUGAAGACUAACUACUGCGAAAGCAUUUGCCAAGGAUGUUUUCAUUAAUCAAGAACGAAAGUUAGGGGAUCGAAGACGAUCAGAUACCGUCGUAGUCUUAACCAUAAACUAUGCCGACUAGGGAUCGGAUGAUGUUAAUUUUUUAUGUACUCAUUCGGCGCCUUAC